GUGUUGUGUAAAAGGAGAGGUGAUAAGCCCUCCCUCUGACAAAGAUGGAAGAGGCCCUCGGGCCUGACAAGAUGCAUAUGGUUAAGUCAUUGCCACCUAUUUCCUGGCAUCUAACUAUCGUUUUUU
ensembl:snRNA